rnacentral:lncRNA from 1 species
UUGCCACAUGAACAUCUUCCAGCAUCUUGCGUUCUCAGAUGUGGAUGUUGCCAGGGUUCUCACUCCAGAUGCUUUUGUGUGUCGAACCAUCUGCACCUAUCACCCCAACUGCCUCUUCUUACAUUCUAUACAAAUGUAUGGAAAAUCGAGUCACAAAGAAAUGUUUGUCUUCUUAAAACAUCUGAAAGUGGCACACCAAGUUCCUCUACUCCUCAAGAAAACACCAUAUCUGGAUAUAGCCUUUUAACCUGCAAAAGAACUUUACCUGAACCCUGCCAUUCUAAAAUUUACCCGGGAGUUGACUUUGGAGGAGAAGAAUUGAAUGUGACUUUCGUUAAAGGAGUGGAUGUUUGCCAAGAGACUUGCACAAAGAUGAUUCGCUGUCAGUUUUUCACUUAUUCUUUACUCCCAGAAGACUGUAAGGAAGAGAAAGGUGUAAGUGUUUCUUAAGAUUAUCUAUGGAUGGUUCUCCAACUAGGAUUGUGUAUGGGACACAAGGGAGCUCUGGUUACUCUUUGAGAUUGUGUAACACUGGGGAUAACUCUGUCUGCACAACAAAAACAAGCACACGCAUUGUUGGAGGAACAAACUCUUCUUGGGGAGAGUGGCCCUGGCAGGUGAGCCUGCAGGUGAAGCUGACAGCUCAGAGGCACCUGUGUGGAGGGUCACUCAUAGGACACCAGUGGGUCCUCACUGCUGCCCACUGCUUUGAU